rnacentral:rRNA from 1 species
GACGAACGCUGGCGGCGUGCUUAACACAUGCAAGUGGAGCGACGAACCGGGCUUCGGCCCGGGGCAAAGCCGCGAACGGGUGAGUAACACGUGGGUAACCUGCCCCGAUGACCGGGACAACCCGAGGAAACUCGGGCUAAUACCGGAUGUGGUCGCACCCCAUAAGGGGUUCGAUCAAAGAUAGCUUCGGCCUUCGCAUCGGGAUGGGCCCGCGGCCCAUUAGCUUGUUGGUGAGGUAACGGCUCACCAAGGCUGCGAUGGGUAGCUGGUCUGAGAG